UGGAGCGACAGCUAUCUUUGUUUCAACAAUUUUUGCCUGAAUAUGAAAACUACUUUCAUUUUGUGAUUUUUGACCUUCCUGGCCAGCUAGAACAUCUUCCAUAGGGGCCUGCACUGGAAAGUCCACUUUCAGGGAUGUUGAUGGCAAAUCCAUAUUCAUAUCACCAUUUUGCCCUUUCCAAAUGUCUGCACUGUUUUCCCACCCUCGACCAUUCAUUGGAUGUCUGCUCUGGUCCCACUCUGGUCCCCC
rnacentral:misc_RNA from 1 species